rnacentral:misc_RNA from 1 species
UUUACAAACCACUUAUACGUUGUCGUACCAUAUCUCUGCCAAAUCACAAUUUGCAAUUGCAUCCGUAACCGAAGUCGCACACUGUCGAGUUUCGCUAGAAAUGGCUGCCCAUUCCUUGGCCAAUCUUCCAUGGACGACCCAAGCAAUCACUCAAUCCAAUCUUCACGGAGCGAAACCCAAAUCUCUAUUACCUCACUCUCUUAAAUCAUACACUUCACAAAACCCAUCAUGGCUAGGCAGCGCCACCACCCACAUGACAAACCUCUCUUUCCAAUCCUCAAAUCUCAGACCCUACUUCCCUGCCCGCCACCCCAUCGCUGCCACGGUCGCCUCCAGUCUUCCCACUGCGAAUCCAGAGAGAUUUGCUUCUAUUGAGAAAGUUCCCAAGUGGUCAUGGAGGGCAAUUAAGGCAUUUGCUAUGGCUGAACUGGAAGCUAGGAAGCUCAAGUAUGCAAAUACUGGGACUGAAGCUCUUCUCAUGGGGGUCUUGAUUGAAGGGACUAGUCUAGCUGCCAAAUAUUUAUGGACAAAUGGUAUUACUCUUUUCAAAGUGUGUGAAGAGACUAUCAAGUUACUUGGAAAAGCUAACUUAUAUUUUUUCCUUCUGGGCAACCUUCUUUGACUGAAUCAGUUCAGAGAGCCUGGAAUGGUCAGUUGGCCAUAAACUAAAAUUGGGUAAGUCCUGCUAAUUUGCUCAUUUUUCUUUUAGUUAGUUUUAAUUGCCUUGCUAAAUUUUCUUUGUUGAAUGUUGGGCGUUGAGUGUCCUAUAAGCAUAAGUUACAGAUUUUAUAGGAAGUUAUUAGAACACAGAUGAAUAAUAUAUCUGCAAUUUGUAAGGACUAGGUUGUAAGAUUUAUGGUUUAACAACUGCUAUUGGACUUAUGAAAUGGGCAAGUGGAUGCUGCUUGUGUUGUGGGAUCUUGAAGUUUCAAAGUUAUUGUUUAUCCAAUUCUAAACCAGCCAAUUCUUUUGCAUCUUAAAAUUCUGGGUUACCUCACUAGAGUGUGUUUAUUACUUCUUAAAAUCGUAUUCACAUGCACAGAAGUUCACUCUUGUCAUCUGAUCAUUUUACCCUGGCUUUUUUGAAUUGUGAAGUUAUAAUAUUGAGUUCAUUUGGUAGUCUAUGCUGUCAUUGCUGAAUGCUAAAGUUUCUGUGACAUCUCUCUGUUGAGAAUGCCAUUUUUUAGAUCGGAGUUAUGAAUUCUAGAAGAAACGUCUUGGUUGACAAUAUAAUUAUAGGGAAAACGUUUUCUAUUAAACAGCGCUGUUAGUCACUGAGCAAAGUUUUUUAGUGCUUUCCUCGAAGACUUGAAUGAGAAUUAUGUAGCAUAAAAAAGAUAAUUACAUGGGUAUAUAUUAUAACAGAAAAAUGAAAAAUAAUUGAAUAUAUAAAAUAUGUGUGAAGAUCAAAUGUUCAAAUGGUUCGAUUUCCUUGCUGUUUUUAUUGUAAUUUAGAAUAUUCUUCCCUGCUUUAUUAGUGCUGUUGUUCUUUCCUAUUUUGUAUAAUUAUCAUUUUGGGCAAUAUUCAUACAUUAUUUAUUUGCAUAAUUAUAAUUUUUUCUUAAUUUGUUCAAAUUUCAUUUCUUCGUUUUCCUGAAUUGAACGUUGCCAUGAUGACUAACCUAAAAAAGGGGAAAGUGGGGUGGGGGAGAAAAUGAUAAAUUAAUUGUUUGUACCGUGCAGAAGUUAAAACACUCGCUUUUCACUAAUGAAUCUCUCAAUCAACGGGGAUGGUGGGGAGGUUACAAGUGAUCUACUUCUUGGCGUUUGGUCAGAAGUGGUAUCCCCAGGUCACAAGAUAUUAGCUACACUUGUCUUAAGUGAUAAGAAAGCCAAAGAGCUGGAGUCUUCAAGUUCUGGACCUGGUUUUGUAGAUGGAUGAUACCUUCCAUGGUUCUUUAUGAGCAGUAACGUAAUUCUUUAAAAUCUUAGGAUCAAGAAUGGCAGUCGGAGUGUUUGACUAAGUGGCAAAUCUUGUCAUUCUUGUACGGAUAAAAUCAUAAUAAUCUUUUCAUUUUUCAAGGAAUUAGCACAAGUUGGUAUUUGGAUUCCCGAUAGACUGUGUAAGUUGUUUUCUUUGUGGAUAAUUUCUUGAAAUUGGUUCAGGACUCGAUUCGGAGCUGAUUUUCUUGCUGGAUCAUCUGCGAAAAUGCUACUCUGUUAGGUCUUGCUUUAGCUGCUUUUUCAUACCUGUAAAUGAAACUAUCCGACACAUAAUUGGCUAACCAUAUAACUACAGAUGAUAUUGGGAGUUCAAUUUACAGUGAAUCAUUGAAAGUAAAUCCUGAAGCCACCAGAGGAGCGGAAAUGGACAGAGUGCUCAAUGUUGAGGAGUUCCGUUUGGAGUUUUCACGGAAGAAAUAUAGCUUUACACAGCGUCCUUCUUGGGAUCAGUAAUUUUACCAUAUUAAUCAUACUUUCAUAGUCAUGCCAGGUCUAGCAUUAUUCAUGAUGGCGACAGAUGCUAUAAAUACAAGCAAAACAAAUGUUGGCAAGUCAUUCUCAUGUGUUAGAAUCAUUGACUGUUGCACUUGUUCCGUGAUCUUCUCUUCCUUGAAUGGUCUCUUGCACGUCGCUUGCUAGUUUUUGUGCCUUUUUUGCUUCUACUUCCCAGUUAAUCCUUAUGACAAACACCACUAAUAACGUCAUGCAAGCAGUGAUUCCAACAAAGAAACCCAGCAGCAACCCGCCAAGCCCGAGUCCUGCUUUAAAAGCUAAAAGCACAGCUACUGGCAAGGCCAUAAAGUAGAACCCUCCAAGAUUGGCAUAAAUACCCAACCAUGGCCUAGCAGUCCCCCGGACAAUACCUCCACAAACUGCUAGAGGGAAAUUUACCACUUCAACCAAAGCCAUUAGCAACAUCAUCUUCUUUACACCUCUUAUAAUGCCCUUGUCAUGGCUAAACAGAGGCCCCCAGAUACCUCUAGCUCCUAACAUCACCAAGGCUCCAAUGCAACCUGAGACCAAACUCAUGGCCAGAGAAACAUAUGCCGACUGGUAAGCAGGGCGUGCUUGAUUGGCCCCAAGCUCAUUGGACACACGAAUUGAAGCACAAGUUGCUAGCGAAAGCAUCACCGAGAAGAGCAAGUAGUCGAAGUUGAGCACAAUGGCUAACACUCCCACUGCUUGCUUGGCAUUCGCCAGCCGCCCCGUUAGCAAGAUUAAGAUCUCCCAGCACCACCAUUCAAGGCAGGUGGUAAGGCAACAUGGUCCACAAAGCUUUAGCAACCUGCGCCAGUCGUAAAUGCCUUGGUCGAACCAUCCUCCCUCCUUCCACUUCCCUUCCUUGCUAUUUUCCUUCACCAACACGUAUGAAGCUAGUAAAAUCACAACUAUAAGAUCGGUUAUCCAUAUUGCCAUGGAUACCCCCUCAAGACCCUUGGAUUUUACAAGAAAGAUGUUAAUGGGUACGUGUAAAGCAAGACCUAAAGCUGAGCUAAACAUUAUUGGAACCGUUAUACCUUGAGAGCUCAAGUAGGCUUUGAGAGGACAGAGUAAGGAAGUGAUGACCAAGUCAGGAAGAAGAUAGAAAAGAUAGGUUUUUGCAACAAGUGAAAUCUCUUCUUGUUGGCCAAAGUGGAUGAGAAUUUUCUCAACAUUAAGCCAUAAGAAAGAUGCAGGCAGGGUUACUAGUAGCAACAAGAAAAUUGUCAUGAGAAGAGUCUUAUGGAGCAGCCUAAAAUUUUUAGCUCCAUAAGCUUGACCACAAAUAGGUUCCAUGGCACCACAGAGACCAUUCAAAACGGAGAAGCCAGUGACAUUAGCAAAAGUGAAACCAAGAGUGCCACCAGCUAAACGGAGAUCUCCAAGCCGGCCUAGAAAAGCGGUUGUUAUAGCAAUCUUGGCAAACCAUGCCAAAUUCAUCGCCAGUAAGGGAAGGGUUAUCCCUCGUUGUAGUUUUAACUCCAAGAAUACUACCUGCAUAAGGUUUGUGGGCCAUUUUCGUGUAAUUAGUGACAGUGGAGGUGGUGGAAGAGGAGAAGGCAGAGAUGCUAUACGAACAGGAUUCUCUUCCAAUUUUGUUGUGGUUAUAGACAUAAUGGCUGAGCCUAAGCAAUAUAGAUUGGUGCGUUUCUAAAGGAAAGGGCAAAUGCAGGCUUCUUUUUGUGUUGGCCAAUUGAAGGAGAGAUAGAUGGUAGUAAUUUAUAGUGCCUGAUGAGAAUGCAAGGGCCAUAUAACUUCACUUUUAGAUAUUAACAUAUUCCUUUAAGCUUGAUCUUCAUUCCUCAUUUUUUAAAGAUGAUUACAGUUCUACUAUUUUACUGCAAAUAGAAGGUUCUUUUCUAGAGUUCUGAAAAAUUUUCUAGUUGCUCCUGAACUCCUAACCGUGAACCUGCCUAAUUUGUAUUAUUCUCGUCUUGAAGAAUAUUUGCUCUCAUAAGGCAGCCACCGAAAUCUACUGCAUAUACUAAUGUUCUAGCAGAUAUAAUUCAGUUCUCCUUAUCUUUUCA